GUAAGGAACAAGUAGCGCGGUCCAGCGAUUAUCUCGAUGGCCAGUUGAGCUUUCGUGAGCGGCUGAUGGUGCGCCAUCAUUUGAUGUUUUGCCCCAAUUGCCGGCGAUUCAUUCGGCAGAUGCGGUUGAUGCAGGCGACCUUGCGCGCCAUGCCCGAAAAACCGCUGCCCGGUGUCGACGAACUCGCCGAACGCCUGGCCGCCGAGCGUCAAAAGGGUAAACAGUAGUUUCAGUU
rnacentral:ncRNA from 1 species